GAUUAUGGCUCAGGAUGAACGCUGGCGGCGUGCUUAACACAUGCAAGUGCGCGGUGAUCUCAAGAAGUUUCGGACGGAAAGGGAGAGCAGCAGCGGACGGGUGAGUAAAGCACAAGGACUUGUCCCGAAGAGGGGGACAACUGUGGGAAACCACAGCUAAUACCCCAUAAGCCGAGAGGUGAAAGCAGCGAUGCGCUUUAGGAGAGACUUGUGUCCUAUCAGGUAGUUGGUGAGGUAACGGCUCACCAAGCCGAAGACGGGUAGCCGGACUGAGAGGUUUGUACGGCCACAUUGGAACUGAGAGACGGUCCAGACUCCUACGGGAGGCAGCAGUGGGGAAUAUUGGGCAAUGGGGGCAACCCUGACCCAGCGACGCCGCGUGAGGGAAGACAGCCUUCGGGUUGUAAACCUCUGUUGCAGGGGAAGAAGAAAGUGACGGUACCCUGCGAGGAAGCUCCGGCAAACUACGUGCCAGCCGCCGC
rnacentral:rRNA from 1 species